rnacentral:rRNA from 1 species
AUGCGUAGGGGGCGAGCGUUGUCCGGAAUGACUGGGCGUAAAGGGCGUGUAGGCGGCGGUGUAAGUCUGGAGUGAAAGUCCCGCAUUCAAUGUGGGAAUUGCUUUGGAUACUGCAGUGCUAGAGUGCGGAAGAGGUAAGUGGAAUUCCCAGUGUAGAGGUGAAAUGCGUAGAGAUUGGGAGGAACACCAGUGGCGAAGGCGACUUACUGGGCCGUAACUGACGCUGAGGCGCGAAAGCGUGGGGAGCGAACAGGAUUAGAUACCCUGGUAGUCCACGCGGUAAACGAUGAAUGCUAGGUGUUGCGGGUAUCGACCCCUGCAGUGCCGGAGUAAACACAAUAAGCAUUCCGCCUGGGGAGUACGGCCGCAAGGUUGAAACUCAAAUGAAUUGACGGGG